rnacentral:rRNA from 1 species
GACGAACGCUGGCGGCGUGCUUAACACAUGCAAGUCGAACGGAAAGGCCCGGCUUUUGUGGGUUGCUCGAUUGGCGAACGGGUGAGUAACACGUGAGUAACCUGCCCUUGACUUUGGGAUAACUUCAGGAAACUGGGGCUAAUACCGGAUAGGAGCUCCUGCUGCAUGUGGGGGGUUGGAAAGUUUCGGCGGUUGUGGAUGGUCUCGCGGCUUAUCAGCUUGUUGGUGGGGUAGUGGCUUACCAAGGCUUUGACGGGUAGCCGGCCUGAGAGCGUUGCCGGGCACAUUGGUACUGAGAGACGGCCCAGAAGCGAACGGGCGGCAAUAGUCGGGAAUAUUGCGCAAUGGGCGGACGCCUGAUGUGGAGACGCCGCGUGCGGGAUGCCGGCUUUCGGGUUGUAAACCGCUUUCGCCUGUGACGAAGCGUGAGUGACGGUAAUGGGUCAAGAAGCACCGGCUAACUACGUG